GCAAACUUCGACUGAACAGCGACGCAACGCCCCACGUGUCUUCCCCUGUACUACAUUACCCACACAUCCACUCACUGGAAGGACUACGGCAAUGCAAAAGGGCCAAAAAUAGAUUCCAGUUCAACUCCAAGUUGCUCUUCUUGGUGCCCCCUGGAAAUCUGUCAAGGACCCCUGAGGCUCCCUGGACCACACAUUACGUCCCACUACCCUAACAAAGAAAUCAAACCCUGUGUCUUUAUUACAUUUAUCACCUACUCUGGACUACUAUUUGGUAAAAUUCUGAUCCGGCGAUACAAUUUCUAUGCAAGUGUGCUAGUGAACGGAAUGGCUCACAACAGUCUCACAAUGCACGGAGAGUUACACAACGUCAACACUUUUAAAAAUAAAAUUUAUUAGCAUCUCUAAUGUGUAUAAAUAAAAACAUAUAUGAAACAAUGUAUAUAUGUAUGAUGUAAUGAGUUUAACAAUAACAGGGUUACAUGUGAUACAAGGGAGCAGUCUUUAUUUUAGCCAGUGUAUUGUGAGGAAAACUGUACCUUCAAAUCAAGCUUUCAAAUAUGCAUACCUAUAAGUUGCAAAUCUACAUUCUUUGAUAAGAAUGAAACAAAUAAAUCAUUUCUGGAGUGGUAACAGGAAGAAUAUGGUAAAUAUGCAGUUUUGCGUUCCUGUUUCUUAAGAUUUCAUAACAUCUGUUGAUUUAAUACAUUAUAAACGCUGUACUUUUUUUUUAAAAAGGUUUCACUAACAAUGUUGAGGCACAAAGCCACAACACUAUUCAAAUUGACCUUCUCAACUUAACAUUACACUCAAUAAAAAUCCUAAAAAGGAUUUCACCUCAUUCUUUUCCAUUUACUGAAGUCACAUUGUUCCACAGACUCAUAAGAAAGGGUCUUUAUAAGCAGACCUGAAAUCUAGGGACAAUAUGACUAUAAUGUUAGACACAGCGACAAAAAAUAGGAAGAUACCAAAUGACAAAUUUUACAUGUAACAAACAGAUCCAAAAAGGACCAGACAAACAACGCGAUUUGCAUUUUACUAAUGUAACAAGGUUUGUCAUUUUCUGCGAUGGCUUGCUGUGCCUGGGUCAGAAUACCAAGAAGACAGUGAAUGGAAGCUUUUGUGGUGGGUCUGAGGACUUGGCUCUCUAGGCAAAAAGCAAAGAAAGGAAAGGACCUCUCUUCUUGUGUCACCCAAUAAUUUAUAUUUGGU